GUUGUAUAGUCAAGUAAUUAAGUGCAUGUGGUGGAUGCCUUGGCAGUCAGAGGCGAUGAAAGACGUGAUAGCCUGCGAAAAGCUCCGGGGAGGCGGCAAAUAUCCUUUGAUCCGGAGAUGUCUGAAUGGGGGAACCCACCUACUUUAAGGUAGGUAUUGCAACAUGAAUACAUAGUGUUGCAAGGCGAACGAGGGGAAGUGAAACAUCUCAGUACCCUUAGGAAAAGAAAUCAAUUGAGAUUCCCUCAGUAGCGGCGAGCGAACGGGGAUCAGCCCAUUAAGUUAUGUGUGUUUUAGUGGAACGCUCUGGGAAGUGCGAACGUAGAGGGUGAUAUUCCCGUACACGAAAGGGCACACAUAAUGAUGACGAGUAGGGCGAGGCACGUGAAACCUUGUCUGAAUAUGGGGGGACCAUCCUCCAAGGCUAAAUACUCCUGACUGACCGAUAGUGAACCAGUACCGUGAGGGAAAGGCGAAAAGAACCCCUGUGAGGGGAGUGAAAUAGAUCCUGAAACCGCAUGCAUACAAGCAGUGGGAGCACCUUCGUGGUGUGACUGCGUACCUUUUGUAUAAUGGGUCAGCGACUUAUAUUCAGUAGCGAGGUUAACCGUAUAGGGGAGCCGUAGAGAAAUCGAGUCUUAAUAGGGCGUUUAGUUGCUGGGUAUAGACCCGAAACCAGGCGAUCUAUCCAUGAGCAGGUUGAAGGUUGGGUAACACUAACUGGAGGACCGAACCCACUGUCGUUGAAAAGCCAGGGGAUGACUUGUGGAUAGGGGUGAAAGGCUAAUCAAGCCUGGUGAUAGCUGGUUCUCCCCGAAAGCUAUUUAGGUAGCGCCUCGGACGAAUACCAUAGGGGGUAGAGCACUGUUUCGGCUAGGGGGUCAUCCCGACUUACCAAACCGAUGCAAACUCCGAAUACCUAUGAGUACUAUCCGGGAGACAGACUGCGGGUGCUAACGUCCGUAGUCAAGAGGAAAACAAUCCAGACCGCCAGCUAAGGCCCCAAAAUCAUAGUUAAGUGGGAAACGAUGUGGGAAGGCAUAGACAGCUAGGAGGUUGGCUUAGAAGCAGCCACCCUUUAAAGAAAGCGUAAUAGCUCACUAGUCGAGUCGGCCUGCGCGGAAGAUGUAACGGGGCUAAAACUAUGUGCCGAAGCUGCGGAUNNNNNNNNNNNNNNNNNNNNNNNNNNAUGCUGGAGGUAUCAGAAGUGCGAAUGCUGACGUGAGUAACGACAAAACGGGUGAAAAACCCGUUCGCCGAAAGACCAAGGGUUCCAGUCCAACGUUAAUCGGGGCUGGGUGAGUCGACCCCUAAGGCGAGGCCGAAAGGCGUAGUCGAUGGGAAAAUGGUUAAUAUUCCAUUACUUCUGUGUAAUGCGAUGAGAGGACGGAGAAGGCUAAAUCAGCCUGGCGUUGGUUGUCCAGGUGAAAGGAUGUAGGCAUGUAUCUUAGGCAAAUCCGGGGUACUCUAUGCUGAGAUCUGAUAGCAAGCUGUACUUGUACAGCGAAGUGGUUGAUGCCAUGCUUCCAGGAAAAGUCUCUAAGCUUCAGUUACACAGGAAUCGUACCCGAAACCGACACAGGUGGUCAGGUCGAGUAGACCAAGGCGCUUGAGAGAACUCUGCUGAAGGAACUAGGCAAAAUGGUACCGUAACUUCGGGAGAAGGUACGCUGUUGUUGGUGAUGGAACUCGCUUCCUGAGCUGACGACAGCCGCAGAAACCAGGCCGCUGCAACUGUUUAUUAAAAACAUAGCACUCUGCAAACACGAAAGUGGACGUAUAGGGUGUGAUGCCUGCCCGGUGCUGGAAGGUUAAUUGAUGGGGUUAGCGUAAGCGAAGCUCUUGAUCGAAGCCCCAGUAAACGGCGGCCGUAACUAUAACGGUCCUAAGGUAGCGAAAUUCCUUGUCGGGUAAGUUCCGACCUGCACGAAUGGCAUAAUGAUGGCGGCGCUGUCUCCAGCAGAGGCUCAGUGAAAUCGAAAUCGCUGUGAAGAUGCAGUGUACCCGCGGCUAGACGGAAAGACCCCGUGAACCUUUACUGCAGCUUGACACUGAACUUUGACCUUACUUGUGUAGGAUAGGUGGGAGGCUUUGAAGCUGGAACGCUAGUUCCAGUGGAGCCGUCCUUGAAAUACCACCCUGGUAAUGUUGAGGUUCUAACUCUGUCCCGUGAUCCGGGACGAGGACCGUGUCUGGUGGGUAGUUUGACUGGGGCGGUCUCCUCCUAAAGAGUAACGGAGGAGUACGAAGGUGCGCUCAGCGUGGUCGGAAAUCACGCGUAGAGUAUAAAGGCAAAAGCGCGCUUAACUGCGAGACCCACAAGUCGAGCAGGUACGAAAGUAGGUCUUAGUGAUCCGGUGGUUCUGUAUGGAAGGGCCAUCGCUCAACGGAUAAAAGGUACUCUGGGGAUAACAGGCUGAUACCGCCCAAGAGUUCAUAUCGACGGCGGUGUUUGGCACCUCGAUGUCGGCUCAUCUCAUCCUGGGGCUGAAGCAGGUCCCAAGGGUAUGGCUGUUCGCCAUUUAAAGAGGUACGCGAGCUGGGUUUAGAACGUCGUGAGACAGUUCGGUCCCUAUCUACCGUGGGCGCUGGAAAUUUGAGAGGAUCUGCUCCUAGUACGAGAGGACCAGAGUGGACGAACCUCUGGUGUACCGGUUGUGACGCCAGUCGCAUCGCCGGGUAGCUAUGUUCGGAAGGGAUAACCGCUGAAAGCAUCUAAGCGGGAAGCCUACCUCAAGAUAAGAUUUCCCUAGGACUUUAUGUCCUCUAAAGAGCCGUUCGAGACUAGGACGUUGAUAGGUUGGAUGUGGAAGCAUAGUGAUAUGUGAAGCUGACCAAUACUAAUUGCUCGUGAGGCUUGACUAUACAACACCCAAGCAGUUG
rnacentral:rRNA from 1 species